GACGAACGCUGGCGGCAAGCUUAACACAUGCAAGUCGAACGCCGUAGCAAUACGGAGUGGCAGACGGGUGAGUAACACGUGGGAACGUGCCUUUCGGUUCGGAACAACUGAGGGAAACUUCAGCUAAAACCGGAUACGCCCUUCGGGGGAAAGUGUACGCCGAACGAUCGGCCCGCGGCAGAUUAGGUAGUGGGCGGGGUAAUGGCCCACCAAGCCGAUGAUCUGUAGCUGUUCUGAGAGGAAGGUCAGCCACACUGGGACUGAGACACGGCCCAGACUCCUACGGGAGGCAGCAGUGGGGAAUAGUGGACAAUGGGCGCAAGCCUGAUCCAGCUAUGCCGGGUGGAUGAAGAAGGCCUUCGGGUUGUAAAGCCCUUUCGGCGGGGAAGAUAAUGACGGUACCCGCAGAAGAAGCCCCGGCUAAUUUCGUGCCAGCCGCCGCCGUAAUAC
rnacentral:rRNA from 1 species